AUGGACUCGUCGCACAUCCCCGAUGAUCUCUUCCCGGAGAUCUUCGUCCGCGUCCCCGACCCAGCCGACCUCGUUCGAAUCUUGGCCACCUGCGUCUCCUUCCAUUCCCUCAUCGCCAGUCGCUCCUUCCUCCGCCGCUACCGCAACCGCCACGCCCCGCCCUUCGUCGGCUUCUUCGAUUUUCAACGAGUCUUCCACCCCGCCGAACCUCCUUACCCCUCCGCAUCGGCCGCCAAAGCCGUCUCCCUCGCCGCUGACUUCUCCUUCCCCUUCCUCCCCGCCCCAGCCAGCGACUGGCACAUUUUUGAGAUCUGCGACGGUCGUGUCCUCCUCGGCAGGGACCCCUACGACUUUGAGGAGCUGGUGGUGUGCGACCCCUUGCACCGGUGUGUUAGGACCGAAGCGCGUGUGGUAUUUCUUCAGUUAAUUGUAUCAGUUGGGUUCAGAAGAAGAAUGGCUGGGAUCACGCCUCACUUAAUUAAGCUCGUCGCUAGCCGUUAG
rnacentral:rRNA from 1 species